rnacentral:rRNA from 1 species
UACGUAGGGUGCAAGCGUUGCCCGGAUUUAUUGGGCGUAAAGGGCGCGUAGGCGGCUCUGCACGUUCGUUGUGAAAUCGCCCGGCUUAACUGGGCGGGGUCAGCGGAUACGGCAGAGCUUGAGCAAGCUAGGGGGCAAUGGAAUUCCCGGUGUAGUGGUGGAAUGCGUAGAUAUCGGGAGGAACACCAGUGGCGAAGGCGGUUGCCUGGGGCUUUGCUGACGCUGAUGCGCGAAAGCGUGGGGAGCGAACAGG